GAUGAACGCUGGCGGCGUGCCUAACACAUGCAAGUCGAGCGAACAGACGCGGAGCUUGCCUCUCUGACGUUAGCGGCGGACGGGAGAGUAACACGUGGACACCCUCCUUAUAAGACUGGGCUAACAUGGGGAAAUCGGAGCUAAUACCGGCUAAUAUUUAGAACGGCAGGGCGUAAUAGCUAAAGACGUUUUUGCUGCCACUUAUAGAUUGAUCCGCGCCGGAUUAGCUAGUUGGUAAGGUAAAGGCUUACCAAGUCGACGAUGCGUAGCCGACCUGAGAGGGUGAUCGGCCACACUGGAACUGAGACACGGUCCAGACUCCUACGGGAGGCAGCAGUAGGGAAUCUUCCACAAUGGGCGAAAGCCUGACGGAGCAACGCCGCGUGAGGGAUGAAGGUCUUCGGGUCGUAAAACUCUGUUGUUAGGGAAGAAAAAGUGUGGGAGAAACUAUGCGCGUAUUGACGGUACCUAAAGAGAAAGCCACGGCUAACUACGUG
rnacentral:rRNA from 1 species